UGAAAAAUGUUUGGAGGAGAAGAGGAGGCUCCAGACCUGCAUCUCUUUCUCUAUCUUUCUUCUUAUUAGUGGCAAAACCAUUCCUACUCAACCCCUCCCCUUUUUUCACAGCAUUUAUCUUUCUGGAGAGGGGAAUCACUUCGAAAUUUAAUUUCCCUUGGGAUGAGGUGAGGAAGAUAAGCAGGAAGAAGCAGGAUUUUUCUCUCCCUCUUCCCCAGAGAUUAUAAUACGGGAACAGGCCGGGCAGAGACACUGAGGCAUGUCCAGACGGGGCCACACUUUCAAUGGUGGAUGGAACUGAUCAAACUCCGGUGUGUGGACACUGCAGGAAACGGAGUGUGGCAAUGAGCUCCCAUGGAUCAGGCCCUGGGUCUAACACGCUCAGGAAACGAGCUUCCCGUCAAGUCCUAGUCCCAGCUUCCUUCACCGUUUUGAUCAUCAUCAUCGUUACUCUAGCAGCACUUUUAGCAGUGGAAAAAUCCAAACCACCUGUGGGUGCUGCUGGGCCCGGCUGCCCGGACGGCUGGAUCGGGUACCGAGGGAAAUGCUAUUAUUUCUCAGAGACUGAAGGGAACUGGACCUACAGCCAGAGCCAGUGCUCUGCACUCAGCGCCUCCCUGGCUGGAUCGACAGUGAGCAGGAAAAGGUGAGAGCGGCAGAUGCUU
rnacentral:lncRNA from 1 species